rnacentral:SRP_RNA from 1 species
UGUGCUAAGCGGGGAGCUAGUGGUGCCCUGUUACUCGCAAUCCACUACAGCGAGGCUGACCAGUCAUCUAGGGAGAUUUUUAGCUUUUGUAAGUUCUUUUAAAGAGUGUUGAACGAAAGGUCUUGUGCAAUUGCAUGCUUUGAACCAUGUCAGAGCCGGAAGGCAGCAGCAUUAAGGAGUUUUUGUGAUGUGCCAUAAGGUAGCCUCUCGGGAGCUUUU